rnacentral:ncRNA from 1 species
CGAUCGGACAGCGUAGGAAACUACGUCAAACUCGCCUGUAAUCCCGGCAUCACCACGCAAGUGGUGUGGCGACUUUUUCAACUGGCUGCUGCGGCAGCGAUUAU